UUGAAGAAUCGGUGCGUACAUAAAAAGCUUGAUUGCAGCUACUGCUUGUUUCUGAUGAUUUCAGAAAUUUGUUGGAUUAGUUGCGAUUGAGCAGCGGCCAGACAACCGUAGAGAUGGAAUCCACAGAUGAUGAGUUUUUUCUCUCUCAUCAUUCUACUAAUUCCAUCUCACAUCA